rnacentral:rRNA from 1 species
AUUGAACGCUGGCGGCAGGCUUAACACAUGCAAGUCGAGCGAGCGGCGGACGGGUGAGUCAUGUCUGGGACACUGCCUGAUGGAGGGGGAUAACUACUGGAAACGGUAGCUAAUACCGCAUACCAUCAGAUGUGCCCAGAUGGGAUUAGCGAGUAGGUGGGGUAAUGGCUCACCUAGGCGACGAUCCCUAGCUGGUCUGAGAGGAUGACACGCCACACUGGAACGGGUAAACGGUCCGAAUCCCCUGGGGGGGCAGCAGGGGGGAAUAUUGGAAAUAGGGCGCAAGCCUGAUGAGGCACUGCCGGGGGGUGGAAGAAGGCCUUCGGGUUUGAAAGCAAUUUCAGCGAGGAGGCGUUACUCGCAGAAGAAGCACCGGCUAACUCCGUGCCAGCAGCCGCGGUAAUAC